GGAUGUGAGGGCGAUGUAGCUGUGACAUCUGUCACCCCAUUGAUUGCCAGGGUUGAUUCGGCUGAUCUGGCUGGCUAGGCGGGUGUCCCCUUCCUCACCACUCCAUUUGCGUCCCUCCUGAAGCUGCAUACUUGGUCAAAGAGCAUGGCCUUCUCCUGAAUAGGGACGGACCAGUCUUUGGUCUUCGGUCGAAGGUAUGUAUACCAGUUGCUGCGCUCCCCUGCUAGAACCUCCAGACAAGCUCUCAAGGGUUACUCCAGGCGGGGCUUGGGGACCAUAUACGGUGCCAGGGAUCAAA
rnacentral:snRNA from 1 species